rnacentral:sRNA from 1 species
UUGCCGGUGAGAGACCUUUUGUUCUUUUGAUCACUCUCAAUUUUUAUGUGGCCUAAAAUACAGACUCCAUGAAUUGAUUUUGUCGUUAAGGGCUGGGCCAUCAGGAAUUUGCUCGUCCAUCUCGGGGAGACCUGGCCUUCAGAGAUGACAGCAUUUGGCCCCAGGAGGAGCCUGCAAUUCGGCCUCGGUCUUCCCAGCGUGUGCCGCCCAUGGGGAUACAGCACAGUAAGGAGCUAAACAGAACCUGCUGCCUGAAUGGGGGAACC